CUGAGACCGGCAGAGGUUUCUAGGCAAGCUUUUGAGAACCAUGCAAUUCACUGCUUGAAGAAGAGAUCUGAGGUGUCAGCUUCUCUGACCUUCAGCAAUUGUUUCCUUGAUUUCCACUCCCCCGGCUCGACUGGCUGUUUCCACAGUUGGGUGGAUUCUCUAGCUACUGAGCUACCAGGGAAGCCCAGACGGUGAUAAUACGCAAUGGUAAAAAUGCUUCUCUCUAGGUCGUGGAAUUACAGAGGCUGUUCAGAUGGAAGGAGUGACCUUCCCAAGGGGACCAAGGACAACUCUCUUACUGUCCAGAUACAUCAAUGGACACCGAAAACCCAGGUCAGUGUGAUGAUCUGCAGGAUGCCCCAGUGGUCUACAGCUCUUUGGACUAUACUGUGACAAGGAGAAAGAGGAUUAACAUGGCCCUGAGAUAAAACUAUGAAUGCAUAUUGUUGUCUAUCCCAUGUGAAUGUGGACUGUUUCUGAUCUUCUCUUCUGAUUGGAAUCGAAAAUAACACAUUGAUCAAGUCAACAGCAGCACACCAUGAACCUGAAGCCAUGUUAAUCUGCUGGAGCAAAGAGUUGAGCGUGGAAGCUGCACUUGGUGCUACUGUUUGGUAGAACUUCCAGUUGUCUACAGUCACACUCUAGGAUCCAUCUGGUUUCUGCCAGGACCAGACUGAUAAACUAAACAGAGA